rnacentral:misc_RNA from 1 species
AAUUUUGUCAAAACAUGCAGCUAGUGUGUUUUGGAUUGUUGGGAGCUUUUGCUGAACUUGUUUCAGCUCUCCUGAAAAAGAUUAAACUGGUUAGGGGAGAUGGUGGCUCUAUUCACUUCUGCCUUUCCAUUGGUGUGGUAGAUGAAUGAAAAAUUCACUGUGCCAGGAAAAGCAGGGUUUAUAAGUGAAGGAAAAAGAGUACUAUGGAACUCUCUGCUCAUUAUUGAGAACUUGGUUGUAUUG